rnacentral:tRNA from 1 species
UGCGGGGUGGAGCAGUCUGGUAGCUCGUCGGGCUCAUAACCCGAAGGUCAUCGGUUCAAAUCCGGUUCCCGCUACCA